rnacentral:rRNA from 1 species
UACGUAGGGGGUGAGCGUUGUCCGGAAUCAUUGGGCGUAAAGCGCGUGUAGGCGGCCCGGUAAGUCCGCUGUGAAAGUCCAGGGCUCAACCCUGGGAUGCCGGUGGAUACUGUCGGGCUCGAGUCCGGAAGAGGCGAGUGGAAUUCCUGGUGUAGCGGUGAAAUGCGCAGAUAUCAGGAGGAACACCAAUGGCGAAAGCACUCUGCUGGGCCGACACUGACACUGAGAGACGAAAGCUAGGGGAGCGAAUGGG